UGCUCAGGGAAGAAGGGUCUGGCCCCUGGAGGAGCCGGCCGCUCACCCGGUCUGGAAAGUGUGAUCCGCUGUGAUGCUCAUAUGGGAUCAGCCGGCCUGCAGGCAUAUUGCACUCCUGCCCCCGAGGGUCCCUCUCCACGUUCAGCUGUCUUGAACAGAAAUCACACCAGGGAUCACCUCAAGAAGGAAGCUUUAAGGCAGAAGGCCUUCCACAUGGGGGCUGUCUGGCCUCUGCUUCUGAUCCAGACGGGGUGCCCUCGUCCUGAGAGUCCAGCCAGACCCUGCGUGGUCCGCACACUGCCGGCAGGGCGUCCGAGCCACCGCGCCCCCUCUCCAGGCACAUGCGGAGUGGAAGUAGCAGACAACCACGCCCCCGACAUAACCACCCUCUGACCUGGGUGUCAGGGAGCGCCAGGUCUCCCCCUAGGCCUUGAUGUCCCGUGUCAGCCCCUGCACCCCUGGGAAAGCUAUCCCCGCUCCGCAGAGAAGGGCCCCACGUGAAGCGGGGAGACCGAGGGCCAGAGGGACCGAAGGGACUGACUGCCUUGAUGGGUGAAAUCACAGCCAAGCACGUCUCAUCUCCCACAGCCUUGGCACCGUGCUCUGGUGACAAUGAGACUCGCAUUCCUGGGCCCGUCUCUAUUGUAAACACAACAAUGAACUAUGAGCUCUUUCUCAAUCUUGUUACCACCAGCGUAAAUUCACAUGUCAGCACGUGACUGUUGCCAGGAGACUGCAUGAGUGCCAGUACAUGAUGGAGGCUCCAGGUUUCAUUCUGGUGCAAAGGAGAGGAAACAGCUUUGGUCGGUAGAUAAUGUGCAAUGUUGCCGGGGGUUUCAAUACUGACAGUAAGCACAGUCUUAGAGUUCUGCAGAAACUAUGCUUGCCUUUCAUUUCUUUGUACUGGACUUGAUCUAUCUUAAGUGUCUGUAAGGUUGCUGCCCGGGGACAAA